rnacentral:SRP_RNA from 1 species
GCCGAGCAUCGUAGUUGAUGCCUGUAAUUCUAGCUACCUUGGAGGCUAGCCUCCGAGACUGAAAAAUUUCUUGAACUAGGAGUUCUGAACUGCAGUAGGCUAUGCUAAUCACGUAUCCGCACCGAAUUUGGCAUAAAUAUGGUGAAGUCUCUGGAAAUGAGAAGCCACCAGGUUGCCCAAGGGAGGAGUAAACUAUUCCAGGUCAGAAAUGGAAAAGGUCCAAGCUUCUGUGUCAAUCAGUAUUAGAUUUGGGCCUAUGACUAUCCUUGCAUUUUUAGCCUUAGUGGGAUGGGGAGACACAGGCUUU